rnacentral:rRNA from 1 species
UACGAAGGGGGCGAGCGUUGUUCGGAUUUACUGGGCGUAAAGUGUGCGCAGGCGGUCGGGUGUGUCAGAUGUGAAAUCCCGAGGCUCAACCUCGGAACUGCGUCUGAAACUACUCGACUAGAGUACUGGAGAGGGUAACGGAAUUCACGGUGUAGCAGUGAAAUGCGUAGAUAUCGUGAGGAACACCAGAGGCGAAGGCGGUUACCUGGACAGUUACUGACGCUCAGGCACGAAAGCAUGGGGAGCAAAAGGG